rnacentral:rRNA from 1 species
AACAGAGGUCCCGAGCGUUAGGCGGAAUCACUGGGCUUAAAGCGUGUGUAGGCGGACGUCUAAGUACCUUGUGAAAUCCCGCGGCUCAACCGCGGAACUGCUUGGUAUACUGGACGUCUUGAGCCAGCUAGGGGCUACCGGAACAAAUGGUGGAGCGGUGAAAUGCGUAGAUAUCAUUUGGAACGCCAAUGGUGAAAACAGGUAGCUGGGGCUGUGCUGACGCUGAGACACGAAAGCCAGGGGAGCAAACGGG